CACGUAGGGGGCAAGCGUUGUCCGGAUUUAGUUGGGCGUAAAGAGCUCGUAGGUGGUUCGGUAAGUCGGGUGUGAAACCUCCAGGCUCAACCUGGAGACGCCACCCGAUACUGCUGUGACUGGAGUCCGGUAGGGGAGACGUGGAAUUCCUGGUGUAGCGGUGAAAUGACGCAGAUAUCAGGAGGAACACCGGUGGCGAAGGCGGAUCUCUGGGCCGAUACUGACGCUGAGGAGCGAAAGCGUGGGGGAGCGAACAGG
rnacentral:rRNA from 1 species